rnacentral:rRNA from 1 species
GACGAACGCUGGCGGCGUGCUUAACACAUGCAAGUCGAACGGAAAGGCCUCUUUCGGGGGGUACUCGAGUGGCGAACGGGUGAGUAACACGCGUGUAACCUGCCCUUGACUCUGGGAUAACUUCAGGAAACUGGGGCUAAUACCGGAUAGGAGCUCCUGCUGCAUGGUGUGGGUUGGAAAGUUUCGGCGGUUUGGGAUGGACUCGCGGCUUAUCAGCUUGUUGGUGGGGUAGUGGCUUACCAAGGCUUUGACGGGUAGCCGGCCUGAGAGGGGGACCGGCCACAUUGGGACUGGGAUACGGCCCAGGCUCCUACGGGAAGCAGCAGUUGGGAAUAUUGCAAAAUGGGUGGGAGCCUGAUGCAGCAACGCCGUGUGCGGGAUGACGGCCUUCGGGUUGUAAACCGCUUUCGCUCAUGACGAAGCUUUGUGUGACGGUAGUGGGUAAAGAAGCACCGGCUAACUACGUG